GGAAAGUUUGCUCCAAUUAUUUUACAUUUAAUGAUAUAUUUACCGAUUAAAAUUACUCAACUAUAUUCUAUUUUAUAAGUUAAUUUAGUAAUUAAUCUCUAAAUUUAGAUUAAUCUAGCUUUUCCGUAUAUUCUUGAAUCUAGCUACUGUUUUCUUUCUCCAUAUUUGAUUUCACAAAUUAUGUGAAACGUGAGAGCACAACAAUUAAUUACAUUUGAAUAUUUGAUUACAGUUUAGCUAGUUAAAAAAAAAAAAAGUAUCUUGGAUAUGUAUGUCACUGCUGUGAUAAGAAGUAGUAAUAAUAAUGCAGAAAAUUAGAGGUGCGAAACCGUAUAAAAUGGGACAUAAAGUUAUGUGCUUUCAUUUUCACUCCCAUGCAUCUUCACCUUUUUUCGUUGUCAUAUUUCUC
rnacentral:lncRNA from 1 species